AAAUCCAUUUCUCUUUGUGUGUGUGUGUUGGAUUAGGAUUUGGAUCGAGGAAGGAGAGAUGGUGUGGGGAUGAGACGGUGGACAGAGGAAGAGGGCGGAUCUGGAUCCAGGUAGAGUGGCCAGAGGAGCAGGCCACCAUCCCUCUUUACCUUCCACCCAACACCAACGUGGUUGUUGACUGCAGAAUCUGUGGUGAUCUACACUCUGUUGGUUCUUUCAUUCAGAGGGUGCUAGAGCUGCACUUAACUUGCUAGCAUCAUCGCCUUGUUCUUCCUGGCAACGAGUGAGGAUGGUGAGCCACAACACCACAAGGUUCUACAAAUGGUUCUCAGAGGUUUGACGGCAUAACAUCGCGCAGUCGAGCAAGUUUUGGUCAAUGUUUCAUGGCUCAAUCAACGAAUGGUGUUAAAACAGAAAAUCUUGAAAGCAAGAUCUUAAAUGAUUCCUACCUCGAGCUUCCAUCGAACACGACUUCGGUUGUUUCUUGGUUGUUCAAGUAUGCUCGAUGGUUCUUCAUCGAGGGUUGAGAUGGACCAUGCACUGGUUACAUCUUCUCCUAUCUCUCCAUGUUCUUAAUUUUCUUAUGCAAUGAGUGCUGGAUUUAGACAACAGUUUGCGCAGUCCAUGCUUUUACAUUGAAAAUGAGAAGAUGAAAUGACGGGUUUGGACAGUGCUGGUGUUUCUUUUUUUUUGGGCAUUACAUUACUAAAAUGAACUAUAUUUACAAUUGUUGAACUCCAUAGCUAAUAAGAUGAUUAUUUAUUUU